rnacentral:rRNA from 1 species
GACGAACGCUGGCGGCGUGCUUAACACAUGCAAGUCGAACGGAAAGGCCCUGCUUUUGUGGGGUGCUCGAGUGGCGAACGGGUGAGUAACACGUGAGUAACCUGCCCUUGACUUUGGGAUAACUUCUGGAAACUGGGGCUAAUACCGGAUAGGAGCUCCUGCUGCAUGGUGGGGGUUGGAAAGUUUCGGCGGUUGGGGAUGGACUCGCGGCUUAUCAGCUUGUUGGUGGGGUAGUGGCUUACCAAGGCUUUGACGGGUAGCCGGCCUGGGAGGGUGACCGGCCACAUUGGGACUGAGAUACGGCCCAGACUCCUACGGGAGGCAGCAGUGGGGAAGAUUGCACAAUGGGCGGAAGCCUGAUGCAGCAACGCCGCGUGCGGGAUGACGGCCUUCGGGUUGUAAACCGCUUUCGCCUGUGACGAAGCGUGAGUGACGGUAAUGGGUAAAGAAGCACCGGCUAACUACGUG